rnacentral:rRNA from 1 species
CACGAAGUGAGUGGCGGACGGGUGAGUAACACGUGGGUAACCUGCCCAGAAGCAGGGGAUAACACCUGGAAACAGAUGCUAAUACCGUAUAACAGAGAAAACCGCCUGGUUUUCUUUUAAAAGAUGGCUCUGCUAUCACUUCUGGAUGGACCCGCGGCGCAUUAGCUAGUUGGUGAGGUAACGGCUCACCAAGGCGAUGAUGCGUAGCCGACCUGAGAGGGUAAUCGGNCACAUUGGGACUGAGACACGGCCCAGACUCCUACGGGAGGCAGCAGUAGGGAAUCUUCCACAAUGGACGCAAGUCUGAUGGAGCAACGCCGCGUGAGUGAAGAAGGGUUUCGGCUCGUAAAGCUCUGUUGUUAAAGAAGAACGUGGGUGAGAGUAACUGUUCACCCAGUGACGGUAUUUAACCANAAAGCCACGGCUAACUACGUGCCAGCAGCCGCGGUAAUACGUAGGUGGCAAGCGUUAUCCGGAUUUAUUGGGCGUAAAGCGAGCGCAGGCGGUCUUUUAAGUCUAAUGUGAAAGCCUUCGGCUCAACCGAAGAAGUGCAUUGGAAACUGGGAGACUUGAGUGCAGAAGAGGACAGUGGAACUCCAUGUGUAGCGGUGAAAUGCGUAGAUAUAUGGAAGAACACCAGUGGCGAAGGCGGCUGUCUGGUCUGUAACUGACGCUGAGGCUCGAAAGCAUGGGUAGCGAACAGGAUUAGAUACCCUGGUAGUCCAUGCCGUAAACGAUGAUUACUAAGUGUUGGAGGGUUUCCGCCCUUCAGUGCUGCAGCUAACGCAUUAAGUAAUCCGCCUGGGGAGUACGACCGCAAGGUUGAAACUCAAAAGAAUUGACGGGGGCCCGCACAAGCGGUGGAGCAUGUGGUUUAAUUCGAAGCUACGCGAAGAACCUUACCAGGUCUUGACAUCUUCUGCCNACCUAAGAGAUUAGGCGUUCCCUUCGGGGACAGAAUGACAGGUGGUGCAUGGUUGUCGUCAGCUCGUGUCGUGAGAUGUUGGGUUAAGUCCCGCAACGAGCGCAACCCUUAUUACUAGUUGCCAGCAUUCAGUUGGGCACUCUAGUGAGACUGCCGGUGACAAACCGGAGGAAGGUGGGGACGACGUCAAAUCAUCAUGCCCCUUAUGACCUGGGCUACACACGUGCUACAAUGGAUGGUACAACGAGUUGCGAAACCGCGAGGUNUAGCUAAUCUCUUAAAACCAUUCUCAGUUCGGACUGUAGGCUGCAACUCGCCUACACGAAGUCGGAAUCGCUAGUAAUCGCGGAUCAGCAUGCCGCGGUGAAUACGUUC